CUCGUGCGUAACCACAACGACUCUCGGCAACGGAUAUCUCGGCUCUCGCAUCGAUGAAGAACGUAGCGAAAUGCGAUACUUGGUGUGAAUUGCAGAAUCCCGUGAACCAUCGAGUCCUUGAACGCAAGUUGCGCCCGAAGCCAUCCGGCCGAGGGCACGUCUGCCUGGGCGUCACGCA
rnacentral:rRNA from 1 species